rnacentral:rRNA from 1 species
UACGUAGGUGGCAAGCGUUGUCCGGAAUUAUUGGGCGUAAAGCGCGCGCAGGUGGUUUCUUAAGUCUGAUGUGAAAGCCCACGGCUCAACCGUGGAGGGUCAUUGGAAACUGGGGAACUUGAGUGCAGGAGAGAAGAGUGGAAUUCCACGUGUAGCGGUGAAAUGCGUAGAGAUGUGGAGGAACACCAGUGGCGAAGGCGACUCUUGGCCUGUAACUGACACUUGAGGCGCGAAAGCGUGGGGAGCAAACAGG